rnacentral:rRNA from 1 species
GACGUAGGGGGCGAGCGUUGUCCGGAAUCAUUGGGCGUAAAGAGCGCGUAGGCGGCCCGGAAAGUCGGAUGUGAAAACCUGGGGCUCAACCCCAGGCCUGCAUCCGAUACUCCCGGGCUCGAGGCAGGUAGGGGAGAUCGGAAUUCCUGGUGUAGCGGUGAAAUGCGCAGAUAUCAGGAGGAACACCGGUGGCGAAGGCGGAUCUCUGGGCCUGUCCUGACGCUGAGGCGCGAAAGCUAGGGGAGCGAACAGG